rnacentral:rRNA from 1 species
ACGGGUGAGUAAUGUCUGGGAAACUGCCUGAUGGAGGGGGAUAACUACUGGAAACGGUAGCUAAUACCGCAUAACGUCGCAAGACCAAAGAGGGGGACCUUCGGGCCUCUUGCCAUCAGAUGUGCCCAGAUGGGAUUAGCUAGUAGGUGGGGUAACGGCUCACCUAGGCGACGAUCCCUAGCUGGUCUGAGAGGAUGACCAGCCACACUGGAACUGAGACACGGUCCAGACUCCUACGGGAGGCAGCAGUGGGGAAUAUUGCACAAUGGGCGCAAGCCUGAUGCAGCCAUGCCGCGUGUAUGAAGAAGGCCUUCGGGUUGUAAAGUACUUUCAGCGGGGAGGAAGGUGUUGAGGUUAAUAACCUCAGCAAUUGACGUUACCCGCAGAAGAAGUACCGGCUAACUCCGUGCCAGCAGCCGCGGUAAUACGGAGGGUGCAAGCGUUAAUCGGAAUUACUGGGCGUAAAGCGCACGCAGGCGGUCUGUCAAGUCGGAUGUGAAAUCCCCGGGCUCAGCCUGGGAACUGCAUUCGAAACUGGCAGGCUAGAGUCUUGUAGAGGGGGGUAGAAUUCCAGGUGUAGC